rnacentral:rRNA from 1 species
UGGGGAAUAUUGGACAAUGGGCGCAAGCCUGAUCCAGCCAUGCCGCGUGAGUGAUGAAGGCCCUAGGGUUGUAAAGCUCUUUCACCGGUGAAGAUAAUGACGGUAACCGGAGAAGAAGCCCCGGCUAACUUCGUGCCAGCAGCCGCGGUAAUACGAAGGGGGCUAGCGUUGUUCGGAUUUACUGGGCGUAAAGCGCACGUAGGCGAACUUUUAAGUCAGGGGUGAAAUCCCGGGGCUCAACCCCGGAACUGCCUUUGAUACUGGAAGUCUUGAGUAUGGUAGAGGUGAGUGGAAUUCCGAGUGUAGAGGUGAAAUUCGUAGAUAUUCGGAGGAACACCAGUGGCGAAGGCGGCUCACUGGACCAUUACUGACGCUGAGGUGCGAAAGCGUGGGGAGCAAACAGG